GCCCCGGUAGCUUAGCGGUAGAGCGCCGGCUUGGUAAGCCGGAGGCCGCGGGUUCGAAUCCCGCCCGGGGCUCCA
rnacentral:tRNA from 1 species